CCGGCGACCGGCGCACGGGUGAGUAACACGUAUGCGACCUGCCCCCCGCAGGGGGAUAACCGGGAGAAAUCCCGACUAAUACCGCGUAACGCCGCGGACCUGCAUGGGUCUGCGGCCAAAGGAAGCGAUUCCGGCGGGGGAUGGGCAUGCGGCGCAUUAGCUAGUCGGCGGGGUAACGGCCCACCGAGGCGACGAUGCGUAGGGGUUCUGAGAGGAAGGCCCCCCACACUGGUACUGAGACACGGACCAGACUCCUACGGGAGGCAGCAG
rnacentral:rRNA from 1 species